rnacentral:rRNA from 1 species
UAGGGAAUAUUGCGCAAUGGGCGAAAGCCUGACGCAGCGACGCCGCGUGAGUGAUGAAGGCCUUCGGGUCGUAAAGCUCUGUUGUACGGGAAGAAGUUUGCAUAGCUAAUACCUAUGCAAAUUGACGGUACCGUAUAAGAAAGGACCGGCUAACUUCGUGCCAGCAGCCGCGGUAAGACGAGGGGUCCUAGCGUUGUUCGGAAUCACUGGGCGUAAAGCGUUUGUAGGCGGCUCUAUAAGUCGGGUGUGAAAUCCCACGGCUCAACCGUGGAAGUGCAUUCGAAACUGCAGAGCUUGAAUAUUGAAGAGGACAGUAGAAUUCCAGGUGUAGUGGUGAAAUACGUAGAUAUCUGGAGGAAUACCGGUGGCGAAGGCGACUGUCUGGUCAAAUAUUGACGCUGAGAAACGAAAGUGCGGGGAUCAAACAGGAUUAGAUACCCCCGUAGUCC